AAUAUGUGGCAUACGGCUCAGUAACACGUAGUCAACAUGCCCAGGGGACGUGGAUAACCUCGGGAAACUGAGGAUAAACCGCGAUAGGUCAUCACUUCUGGAAUGGGUAAUGACUUAAAUCUAUAUGGCCCCUGGAUUGGACUGCGGCCGAUCAGGCUGUUGGUGAGGUAAUGGCCCACCAAACCUGUAACCGGUACGGGCUCUGAGAGGAGGAGCCCGGAGAUGGGCACUGAGACAAGGGCCCAGGCCCUAUGGGGCGCAGCAGGCGCGAAACCUCUGCAAUAGGCGAAAGCUUGACAGGGUUACUCUGAGUGAUUUCCGUUAAGGAGAUCUUUUGGCACCUCUAAAAAUGGUGCAGAAUAAGGGGUGGGCAAGUCUGGUGUCAGCCGCCGCGGUAAUACCAGCACCCCGAGUGGUCGGGACGUUUAUUGGGCCUAAAGCAUCCGUAGCCGGUUCUACAAGUCUUCCGUUAAAUCCACCUGCUUAACAGAUGGGCUGCGGAAGAUACUAUAGAGCUAGGAGGCGGGAGAGGCAAGCGGUACUCGAUGGGUAGGGGUAAAAUCCGUUGAUCCAUUGAAGACCACCAGUGGCGAAGGCGGCUUGCCAGAACGCGCUCGACGGUGAGGGAUGAAAGCUGGGGGAGCAAACCGGAUUAGAUACCCGGGUAGUCCCAGCUGUAAACGAUGCA
rnacentral:rRNA from 1 species